rnacentral:piRNA from 1 species
UGAGUGAUCCACACAUUACUUCAGGAGG